rnacentral:piRNA from 1 species
UGUUUCACAAGGUAGCAAA